rnacentral:tRNA from 1 species
ACCCGGCUGGCUCAGUCUCUAGAGCAUGUGACUCUUGAUCUCAGGGUUGUGAGUUCAAGCCCCACAUUGGGUG